GUUUGCUCUGUUUUGCAGGCUGAAGCUAUUGGAUUAUCACUGUCGGCUGAGGUGGUUAAAGCUCUAGGAUGGAAUACUGCUAUUUUCUUAUCUGAUUGCAGGAAUCUUGUCCAGGUGGCUAAAGCAAGAAACCUUUUAGAGAGUCCA